rnacentral:lncRNA from 1 species
UCCCAGCCUCCGGGACUACAACUCCCAGCCUCCGUCGGCGGGGGAAAGUCACUUUUCCGCUUGAGGCGGGGGGGGCCCAUCGCCGAGGGCGNNNNNNNNNNNNNNNNNNNNNAAAUUGGGUGGGGGAGAAAGAAGGGGAGGCGGUUUCCCCUCAGGGGCUGGGGGAGGGGUCGAAGAGCCUACCUCGCGGGGCGGGUGUGUGUGUGAAUUCCUCAUAUACUGUAUUCCUGUGCUGUUUGUAAUCCAAUUGGGAAGGACUCGCCUCCUAAUAGGAGAGAAGUCAAUCGGCGCAUAAUUAGUGGGCAAAUCCAACACCAGUAAAAUCUCUCUCUUUCUCUCUCUGUAUUCCUGAAGAAACAAAAAUAACCCUAAUUCUCCUUUUUUUAAGAAGCUGAAAUGUGAAGGCACAAAGUUGACCAGUGGAAAAAGAGGCCCCUCAAUGAAUGCGGUUUUCUCUGUGGGAUUAAAACAGGUUAAUAAAUACCUCUUUGGUCAGGGCAGUGGCUAGCCUUUGAAAAGGCAGGAGGGUCCCAAGGCCUCCGUCUUCUGACAGAAGAGGAGACAUGGCCUUGAAAGCCAUUUCCCUGAGCCACGUCCCUAGUGGGACACCCCUGAAGGACUUGGUGAAAUUCCAGCCGGGCGACUCUUUGGGAUCAGCUUCAGAAAAAGCAGUUUUUCCUUCAGCGGUUCUUGCCUCCAAGAACAUGAAUUUGGGGAAAGAGGGUGAAAGAGGAGAAAUCCUCCAGUCCACUUUAAUCGUGGGUGGCCUCCAUGCGGAUGGGCUCCUGGACUUGACUGCGAUCACACCAGCUUCGGAAGAAGGGAGGCCACUUUCCCCCUGUGUGAAGCCAGAACAUGGGCUACUGGCGAGGAAUGCCUUCCUCAAACGUAAAGCUUGUGAGCCUUUAUCUCUUGAGUCUCCAGCCAAAAUCUUUUCAAGAAUGAAGACUAGGGCUGCUCUGGCCAGACAGCAGAAGAAACCUCUAGAAAAUAAACUGUUAGCCGUCAACAGCACCACAGAUUAUAUCCUCACACCUGAAAGGCAUCGGUUCUCUUUGGAAAGCAAGAAAUUGGAAGCUGAAGGUGAAAAGCCCAAGGAAUCGCAAGCUGAGGAGCCACUUGGCGAGGCAAACGUAGAAAAAGGGCCCUAUCUUACUGCAGGGAACAAAAUUUGUGCAGCCACAGGCUCUGAGGUGUUGGAAUCCCCUCACAAGUUCUUCUCACGCGUGAAACAGAAGUUGCAGCAGAAAGGAGAUGCUCCAGGGGGCCAGGCCAAGGGGAGCGACCUCCUUCCGGCUGCAGCAAAGCCUUCUUUGACGCUAUCGGAGCCAGUCCAACCUUGGAAUGAACUUAACAAAGAGAGUCCCGAUACGACUGUCCAUCAGGACGACGCGUUCCUUGUGGAACCGGCUGAACUGGGCAAUGAAACCUUCAGGGUGGCCACUGAUGCUCCGGACGUGAACAGUGGCCCUCUACAAGAACAAGAAAUGGCCCCGGGAAGGCCUUCUUUGCAGCCAUCCAAGCAGACAGCUGGCCAAAGAGGACUGCCCGCGUUUGGUGCUGGGCCUCCGAGGCCUUCCCAGCACUUGUGCGACAUCAUUUUUGCUACUCCCAAAGUCCACAUACCAAGGAAGCCAGGAGCAGGAGAGAACCCUCCCUUGGAAGGCACCGCCAGUGCCGGUGCAGGCAAGGAGGUAGGCUGCCCAUCUCGUGUCAGAAUUGUGUUCCUUCCUUUGCCAUGAUUUCAGGUGGGGAAGUGUGUCUUCGAGGGUGGAAGACCUGUAAACCUCCUUCCUUCUUUGCUCAGUUGUGUGUGCCUCAGUGAGGUGCUCAAAGGGCGGAGGUGAAAACUCCUCCUGCCUUUUGUUCUAGAUGCCUGAUGGGGUUGUGUGUGCCUCAGUGAGGCGCUCAAAGGGCGGAGGUGAAAACUCCUGCCUUUUGUUCUAGAUGCCUGAUGGGAAGACCUUCCGACUCUUUGUUUUAAGACCGCAUCUGUCCUGGGAGGAAGUCUUAAACCAUUGUGUGCAGAAGGGUUGUAGGCCCUUGGCUGCUCUCGGGUCACCUGGUUCUUCUUCGUCCUCUCUGUGUGUGCAGGUGCAGAGAUUAGGUUGUGACCUGGAAAGCAGCACAACGCUUUGCUGUAGGAGUCCUCAGCCAACCAUGCAGGGGUUUUGUGUGUGUGUGUUUGGGGGGGGUGCUUCACAGACCUCCUCCAUGUGUGUGUCAUUAAGAUGAUGGCACAAGCAGCCAUACAUUCAGUUGCUUCUUGCUGUUCAUAUUUGCGCAGCUGGUUAAACCGCAGAAGCCUCUGUGCUGCAAGGUCAGAAGACCAGCAGUCGUAAGAUCGAAUCCCCGCGACGGAGGGAGCUCCCAUCACUUGUCCCAGCUCCUCCUGCCAACCUAGCCGUUCGAAAGCAUGUAAAUGCGAGUAGAUAAAGAGGUAUCCCCAGGGUGGGAAGGUCACAGCAUUCCGUGUCUAGUCGCACUGGCCAUGUGACCACGGAAGAUUGUCUUCGGACAAACGCUGGCUCUAUGGCUUGUAAACGUGGAUGAGCACCGUGCCUUAGAGUCGGACACGACUGGACUAAAUGUCAAGGGGAACCUUUACCUUAUUGCAAGAAUGGAGAAAUAGGAACCAUUUUAUGGGUGCUGCAAACAGGUUUCCCUUAUCUAGCAGGAGGGAGUUCUGUGGGCAGGUAUUAGGUGAACUAGUGUUUAAAGUCGAAAAACCCACAACAACCG